AGGACGAACGCUGGCGGCGUGCUUAACACAUGCAAGUCGAGCGGUAAGGCCUUUCGGGGUACACGAGCGGCGAACGGGUGAGUAACACGUGGGUGAUCUGCCCUGCACUUCGGGAUAAGCCUGGGAAACUGGGUCUAAUACCGGAUAUGACCUCCUAUCGCAUGGUGGGUGGUGGAAAGAUUUAUCGGUGCAGGAUGGGCCCGCGGCCUAUCAGCUUGUUGGUGGGGUAAUGGCCUACCAAGGCGACGACGGGUAGCCGACCUGAGAGGGUGACCGGCCACACUGGGACUGAGACACGGCCCAGACUCCUACGGGAGGCAGCAGUGGGGAAUAUUGCACAAUGGGCGAAAGCCUGAAUGCAGCGACGCCGCGUGAGGAUGACGGCCUUCGGGUGUAAACCUCUUUCAGCAGGUACGAAGCGACAAGUGACGGUACCUAGCAGAAGAAGCACCGGCUAACUACGUGCCAGCAAGCCGC
rnacentral:rRNA from 1 species